UGGAAAGCUUGGAACUAUUUUUGGUUGUGUUGUUAGGAUGGUCUUAAGAACUGACAAGAUUUCUCAAACGGAGUAUUCUUUUUGACACUGGUGGCAGCUAGCAGCCACCAAAAAGUAUCAACACUUCUUCAACUUGUAAGCCUUUUUCAAGGCAUCGUGAAUAAUUAAGAAAUAGAAAAUGCUGAUGUCUGCACACUGUUGCUUGAACCAUACUAUAUUCUCUAGUAGACUAGUAAACCAUUUUCUUGUGUUAUUAUACGAAAUUUUCUAUUGCAAAGGAGCAUAUACGAGGGGAACAUUUCGAGACUGUUCAUAUAAAAUAUAGAAAACCCACUAUUUAAGCAUACUGCUUCCACCAGUCCCAGAAAAAGAAUCGCACUUAACAGAAACGCAAUUUUCCAUCCGGGCUAUCCAUGACCUGAAAGCCACAGAGCAGUCUUCCAGUAAUAGAUCUUCAAGGUGCACUGGGUAUUUGCAGAGCAGGGCCUUUAGAAUUAAAGAACAUUGUUGGAAGAACCCGUUAGCAACUUUGAGUUCUUUUUGCGAUGAUAGGUGGCAAAAGAUAAACGGAGAAGGGUCGAACCCAUUAUACCAAUGUCUGUUCCAUGCCCAGCAGGAAGUCGGCAUUGAUCUGCCGGGUUCAGUCCUUCUUGGGAGAAGGCAUUUACCUGGCUGAGACAGGAAUGUGAUGACAUGGUGUGCCUGAUAUUUAGGAAGCAUACAAAGGGUAGGCGAAAUGGGAAUGAAACUUGGGAAUGAAAUUUGUAUUCAUCUGCCAUAUAAACGGGUCAGACUUGUUUCAGUUACAGAUCAUGCAGCAUCAGCAUGUCACAUGUAAGUCUGUUAAUAAUGUAUUAUGAAUAUUUUUUAUAUGUUUUGAAAAGUUCUGAUUUUACUGCAUUCUGUUGUGUGUGCGUGCGUGCGUGCGUGCGUGCGUGCGUGUUUUCAGAGCAGCUGUUGAGGCACGUAAAGAAACUACACCUACUAUCAUAGAACAAUAUUGUAAGGAAAAUGGUGCGCGAGUCAUUCACUGGCUUGGAUUCAUAUUUGUUGACGAUGCAGACCUAGAAACAAUGCUAAAUACCCGGUAUACAAGUGAUCGAUUUGUCGGAUGAAAUACAAACUGCAUUGUUGUCAGAACAUAGGAUUUAUUUAAGAGUCCAACCUUGAAGCUGAAAGAGAUCAUGUUUGUGAGAUGGUUGUCACACAGUGAGGCAGUGAAAGCGCUGCGUAGAUACGACAAGCAAGUCAUGAUUAGCCUUGACAGAGAGGCAAGUGAAAGACAUGAUCCUGCUGCAUAUGGGCUGUUUAGAUUCUUUAAAACUUACAAUAGGCAUUGCAACAAUUUAUAUGUUGUCCGAUGUACUACCUGUGUUCGCAAUGUUGUCAAAGUCACGGCAGGUAAAAUAUUUUGCUUGUUUUAUAUAUUUUGCUUGCUUUAUGUAUUUAUUUACAAUAUGCUACUUCUGUUUUGAUAAUUUACACAAACACGUCUUGUUUCAUUUGACAGAAAGAAGAUGUUGACAUAAACUCAAUCAACAGUCUAUUGGCUACCACCAAUGAAGAACUGCAGUCUCUGUAUUUCAACACAGGUCCAUUUUUCACUUAAUUGGAUGAAAUUCUGGAGGAUCAGAAUAACCUUUUGAUGAAGAUAAGAAAGACAUAUUUAUGUCAAAUGUAUGUAUAGUUUCUGUUCAUUCCAGUAAUUUAGUUUUAUAAGGUUAUAAAAUAAUUUAUAAAGAAAAGGCUUCAGUGUUUUAUUUGUAUAAAAGUUCUAUGAUCAACGCAUUUUUGAUUGAUUUCCUAUUUUGUUUUCAAAUAGGUUUACAAGACUUUCCAUCAAAAUAUCAGAAGAAAUGUAGAGGAAAGAUUCCCUCACAUGCCCCUUCUUCAGGCAUUUGAAAUAUUUAAGCCUCAGAUGGUGCCAGAUUCAGCAAUAUUUACAGAUGUAGAAUGAAAUGUUGCAGAUUGUGAGAGGUCAUUUUCCAAACUGAAAAUAGUGAAAACUCUUUUACGCAACAACCUGACAACAAAAAACUUGAACAGCGAACUACGAGUGUCAAUCAAUGGACCAAAACUGCUGGAUUUCAAUUUUGACACUAUGACCAACAAAUGGAAUUCAAACCCAAGGCGUAUACAUGUGCAAUAAACUUGAAAAGAAAUACUACAAGUGUUUAUUUCAUUUUAAAUACAUGCACCUAGAUUUUAAGACUUUUGUAAUUAUUUUUAGAUAUUACACUGAAUAAAACAAUUUUAACUGUA
rnacentral:lncRNA from 1 species